AGAGUUUGAUCCUGGCUCAGAUUGAACUCUGGCGGCAGGCCUAACACAUGCAAGUCGAACGGUAACAGGAAGAAGCUUGCUUCUUUGCUGACGAGUGGCGGACGGGUGAGUAAUGUCUGGGAAACUGCCUGAUGGAGGGGGAUAACUACUGGAAACGGUAGCUAAUACCGCAUAACGUCGCAAGACCAAAGAGGGGGACCUUCGGGCCUCUUGCCAUCGGAUGUGCCCAGAUGGGAUUAGCUUGUUGGUGGGGUAACGGCUCACCAAGGCGACGAUCCCUAGCUGGUCUGAGAGGAUGACCAGCCACACUGGAACUGAGACACGGUCCAGACUCCUACGGGAGGCAGCAGUGGGGAAUAUUGCACAAUGGGCGCAAGCCUGAUGCAGCCAUGCCGCGUGUAUGAAGAAGGCCUUCGGGUUGUAAAGUACUUUCAGCGGGGAGGAAGGGAGUAAAGUUAAUACCUUUGCUCAUUGACGUUACCCGCAGAAGAAGCACCGGCUAACUCCGUGCCAGCAGCCGCGGUAAUACGGAGGGUGCAAGCGUUAAUCGGAAUUACUGGGCGUAAAGCGCACGCAGGCGGUUUGUUAAGUCAGAUGUGAAAUCCCCGGGCUCAACCUGGGAACUGCAUCUGAUACUGGCAAGCUUGAGUCUCGUAGAGGGGGGUAGAAUUCCAGGUGUAGCGGUGAAAUGCGUAGAGAUCUGGAGGAAUACCGGUGGCGAAGGCGGCCCCCUGGACGAAGACUGACGCUCAGGUGCGAAAGCGUGGGGAGCAAACAGGAUUAGAUACCCUGGUAGUCCACGCCGUAAACGAUGUCGACUUGGAGGUUGUGCCCUUGAGGCGUGGCUUCCGGAGCUAACGCGUUAAGUCGACCGCCUGGGGAGUACGGCCGCAAGGUUAAAACUCAAAUGAAUUGACGGGGGCCCGCACAAGCGGUGGAGCAUGUGGUUUAAUUCGAUGCAACGCGAAGAACCUUACCUGGUCUUGACAUCCACAGAACUUUCCAGAGAUGGAUUGGUGCCUUCGGGAACUGUGAGACAGGUGCUGCAUGGCUGUCGUCAGCUCGUGUUGUGAAAUGUUGGGUUAAGUCCCGCAACGAGCGCAACCCUUAUCCUUUGUUGCCAGCGGUCCGGCCGGGAACUCAAAGGAGACUGCCAGUGAUAAACUGGAGGAAGGUGGGGAUGACGUCAAGUCAUCAUGGCCCUUACGACCAGGGCUACACACGUGCUACAAUGGCGCAUACAAAGAGAAGCGACCUCGCGAGAGCAAGCGGACCUCAUAAAGUGCGUCGUAGUCCGGAUUGGAGUCUGCAACUCGACUCCAUGAAGUCGGAAUCGCUAGUAAUCGUGGAUCAGAAUGCCACGGUGAAUACGUUCCCGGGCCUUGCACUCACCGCCCGUCA
rnacentral:rRNA from 1 species